rnacentral:tRNA from 1 species
GGGCCGCUAGCUCAACUGGCAGAGCAGCUGACUCUUAAUCAGCCGGUUCCGCGUUCGAGUCGCGGGCGGCUCACCA